rnacentral:misc_RNA from 1 species
CGGACUACAAGGGUUUCUAAUCCCGUUUGAUCCCCUAGCUUUCGCGCCUCAGCGUCAGUUAUAACAUAGUAAGCUGCCUUCGCAAUCGGUGUUCUAGGGCAUAUCUAUGCAUUUCACCGCUACAUGCCCUAUUCCGCCUACUUCUACUAUACUCAAGACAUCCAGUAUCAAUGGCAGUUCCACAGUUGAGCUGUGGGCUUUCACCACUGACUUAAAUACCCGCCUACGGACCCUUUAAACCCAAUAAAUCCGGAUAACGCUUGCAUCCUCCGUAUUACCGCGGCGGCUGGCACU